GACGUAGGGAGCGAGCGUUGUCCGGAUUCAUUGGGCGUAAAGCGCGCGUAGGCGGUUUGGUAAGUCGGAUGUGAAAUCCCGAGGCUCAACCUCGGGACUGCAUCCGAUACUGCCCGACUAGAGGUAGGUAGGGGAGAUCGGAAUUCCUGGUGUAGCGGUGAAAUGCGCAGAUAUCAGGAGGAACACCAGCGGCGAAGGCGGUGCUCUGGGCCGGAACUGACACUGAGGAGCGAAAGCGUGGGUAGCAAACAGG
rnacentral:rRNA from 1 species